CUCUAUUUCCAGCUUGAUUUCCAUUUUUAGCAGCGUACUCAAGUUAAGGGUUAUGUAGAUUGAAGGCCUACCCAUUACAACUGUGGGCAUCAGUUUUUGAGUGUGUGUAUAAUAUCAAGUGGGCGAAGUGGAACAGCUCGGACAGUUCAUUUCUACAUACAUAAUAUCUAUUCGAUUGCGCAAAUGGACACUUCGUGAAAUAUUCCACAUGAUUGACAUGGCAGUAUGUCAUAGCUGGGUGGAAUUCAGAAAGAAAGCUCUUCUUUUAGGAAUUGUACCUAUUAAUUUUGUGACUGAAGGGAUUAAUAAUAUAUAUAUUCCUCGGAUAUCAGAGUAUAAUAAAAAAAUACGAAUGAUUUAGAUCCAAAAA
rnacentral:lncRNA from 1 species